rnacentral:rRNA from 1 species
GAUGAACGCUGGCGGCGUGCCUAAUACAUGCAAGUCGAGCGAACAGAUAAGGAGCUUGCUCCUUUGACGUUAGCGGCGGACGGGUGAGUAACACGUGGGUAACCUACCUAUAAGACUGGGAUAACUUCGGGAAACCGGAGCUAAUACCGGAUAACAUUUGGAACCGCAUGGUUCUAAAGUGAAAGAUGGUUUUGCUAUCACUUAUAGAUGGACUCGCGCCGUAUUAGCUAGUUGGUAAGGUAACGGCUUACCAAGGCAACGAUACGUAGCCGACCUGAGAGGGUGAUCGGCCACACUGGAACUGAGACACGGUCCAGAAUCCUACGGGAGGCAGCAGUAGGGAAUCUUCCGCAAUGGGCGAAAGCCUGACGGAGCAACGCCGCGUGAGGGAUGAAGGGUUUCGGCUCGUAAAACUCUGUUAUUAGGGAAGAACAAACGUGUAAGUAACUGUGCACGUCUUGACGGUACCUAAUCAGAAAGCCACGGCUAACUACGUG